UACAGAGGGUGCGAGCGUUGUCCGGAUUCAUUGGGCGUAAAGAGCUCGUAGGCGGUUCGAUAAGUCGGGUGUGAAACCUCCAGGCUCAACCUGGAGACGCCACCCGAUACUGUCGUGACUAGAGUCCAGUAGGGGAGCGUGGAAUUCCUGGUGUAGCGGUGAAAUGCGCAGAUAUCAGGAGGAACACCAGCGGCGAAGGCGGCGCUCUGGGCUGGAACUGACGCUGAGGAGCGAAAGCGUGGGGAGCAAACAGG
rnacentral:rRNA from 1 species